rnacentral:rRNA from 1 species
GAUGAACGCUGGCGGCGUGCCUAAUACAUGCAAGUCGAGCGAACAGACGAGGAGCUUGCUCCUCUGACGUUAGCGGCGGACGGGUGAGUAACACGUGGAUAACCUACCUAUAAGACUGGGAUAACUUCGGGAAACCGGAGCUAAUACCGGAUAAUAUAUUGAACCGCAUGGUUCAAUAGUGAAAUACGGUUUUGCUGUCACUUAUAGAUGGAUCCGCGCCGCAUUAGCUAGUUGGUAAGGUAACGGCUUACCAAGGCAACGAUGCGUAGCCGACCUGAGAGGGUGAUAGGCGGCACGGGAGCUGAGCCACGGUCCAGACUCCUACGGGAGGCAGCAGUAGGGAAUCGUCCGCAGUAGGCGAAAGCCUGACGGAGCAACGGCACGUGAGUGAUGAAGGUCUUCGGAUCGUAAAACUCUGUUAUUAGGGAAGAACAAAUGUGUAAGUAACUAUGCACGUCUUGACGGUACCGAAUCAGAAAGCCACGGCUAACUACGUG